rnacentral:rRNA from 1 species
GAUGAACGCUGGCGGCGUGCCUAACACAUGCAAGUCGAGCGAUCUUCUUCGGAAGAGAGCGGCGGACGGGUGAGUAACGCGUGGGUAACCUGCCUCAUACACAUGGAUAACAUACCGAAAGGUAUGCUAAUACAAGAUGAUAUAAGAGAUUCGCAUGGAUUUCUUAUCAAAGCUCCGGCGGUAUGAGAUGGACCCGCGUCUGAUUAGCUAGUUGGUAAGGUAAUGGCUUACCAAGGCUUCGAUCAGUAGCCGACCUGAGAGGGUGAUCGGCCACAUUGGAACUGAGACACGGUCCAAACUCCUACGGGAGGCAGCAGUGGGGAAUAUUGCACAAUGGGCGAAAGCCUGAUGCAGCAACGCCGCGUGAGCGAUGAAGGCCUUCGGGUCGUAAAGCUCUGUCCUCAAGGAAGAUAAUGACGGUACCUGAGGAGGAAGCCCCGGCUAACUACGUGCCAGCCGCCGCAGUAAUAC